GCAUCUCUUCCACGUUUGAGGGCAGGAUGUCCAAGCACUUGAGCCAUCCAAGGCUGCUCUCCCAGGUACUAAAUCUGAAGUCACACGGGACUAUGGUACACAAGGAGCUGGAGCAGUUAUGCUAGCACAUCAAAGCAUAUUUCUUUUAAUAAAAAAUUGACAGUAUGUACAUUA